rnacentral:lncRNA from 1 species
AGAAGAGGCGGAGCCUAUCUCUCAUCAGGACCAGUCUGACUGCACCUGCAUCCUUAGCUCAGAGCAUCCCUGGAGCAUCUAAGAGGAAAGCGCAGCUAGCAACCAGGGAUCGUACUGCAGGGGCAAUCGGUCAUGCACCUUCCCCUCCCCUGAUCUGGAGGUCUACAGCCGCGGCCUCGGUACUGACCGAGAUUCCCAAAGUUGUCUGACCUCUGCAAAAGUGUUUCUAUCAACAGCCUCUGAUUACAACAUGGCUGAGAUCACAAAUAUACGCCCCAGCUUUGGGGUGUGCUGGAGAGCUUCGCGUACCUACAAGGAAUACUUGCACUGGUCAGCAUCCUUCUGUGGGCCUGCAAUCCUAACCGACAAGGGCACAGAAGGCAGCUGUGCUCACACGGCUCUGAGAGCUCCCUUCACAGGCACUCCUCUGACCCAAGGAGUAACAACACACAGAACAAGCAGCAAGGCACAACUCCUUUCCUCGGAGGGGCAACUGGACAGCCUUUAACCCUUUAAAAACCAGGGACUGAUUUUCACGGGUUCUGACUUCAGCACUGCAUCAUCCAGGCCACGAACAUGAAGUUCUCUCAAGGUCGUAGCAAACAGACGGUCCUAUGGCCCACGGUUCCAACAGGAAGUAGGACAGCCACCUCUGACUUUACCACACUGCUCACUUCUGGCUUCAGUGCUAAGCCAAGAAAUAAUGCAAAUACAGACAAAGAGAGAAGCCUUGCCUGCUGCAUCUGCUGCUGAAGCCUGCUCCUCUGUGCUGGGUCGAGGACCAGAGUCUGAUGGGCUGCCUCCUCCUGCGGUUUCAGCUUCUCCACCUCAGGCUGCUGUCUGACUGAGGGUUUCUUCAUCUUCAGCUGCUCCAGCAGCUCCUUCACUGUCCGGUGCCGCUCAUUUAGUAAGUUGGCCAACGGCUCCUCAAACCUGUUCCCAACAAGGAUAGAACAUGCAUUUUCUCCUAGGUCCACAAAACAGCAAAUUCCUUGUAACAACAAAACAUGAACAUCUGUUUUACUUUGAUCAUGAUGGCUCACUAUUCUUGACCCUUAAGCAAAUAUUUCCCUUGACUGUUAGCACUGUAUUCAAAUAAAAGAAGUCUGGUGUUAGAGGAUAGUUUGAGCUCAUAUCUAGAAUGCUUGAAGCCCUGGGUCAAUCUCCAACUAUUCCAAAGAAUAUUCUGAAAUGUUUUCCACCUUACUGUAACACAAUUACUUCUCUGUAUAAAACACACAGAGAAAAGAAAUGAAAUGAAAAUCUAGAAGCAGAGAAACAACAGUGUAGUACAAUGCCACAGGCUAGUGGGACUUCAUCAUCCUUGCAUUGUACUAACACAUACUACUUUAUGAGUUCUUCCAAAUUGAAGGGACUCUAGCUAGCUCCAGUGUGACAAGCAUGGCUCCGGCAGGCCUUGCCCCUCUCUCCCAUUCCUUCCAGCUUGCUAACAACCAUUAGAGCUAGCCAGCAAGGUUGAUUCCUUUACUUGGCUACUUCCUCCUCUUGAGGCUGACAAAGUAUUUAAGUCCAGCAAUCAAAAAGUUCCCUUUAGGUCACCUAAUUAAGAUGCCCACUUAAAAUUAAAACACCUCAUCCUAACACAGGCUUUUCCCUUGUACCUUUAUAAACCACAACUUGCCUAUGGACCCUGUCUGUCUCCUCUCAAUUCAGAGGCAGUCCUUUGUCUUCUGGGAGAAAGACUCCUCCCACUUUUCCCCUGUACCCUUCCCCUUCUCAGCUAUCCUCUAUCUCCUGUCUUUGACCUUUAUCCCUGCUCUCUGUCUCUCUGGGGCAAAUAAAUCUCCUUUGUGCUGAGAA